ACGUCAAUUGCCUCACGGCCCUCAGUUCCCAGCAGCUGCGAAGCAACUGACCAAGGCGGUGGUCAUAACUGCAACGUAGCAGAGGGUGCUAAGAAUCUCUGGAUCCGGACAGGCCACCAUUGGUAGCUGAACUUGGCAACAUCUGACGCUGGAAGUUUACCUGUUUAUAUAUGCUGCUCUCCUGGAAAAAAAGCCAACUUCUGCCAUCUGGAGCAAGAUUGAGCAUUGAAACAGUUUCACUGCCACCAUAUUGUUACGGAGAUAACAAACACACGGAAGAAAGAAAUGAGUGUAUUACCAAUAUUUACAAAUGAGGCAUACUCUGUUCAUAAAACUGACGCAGCUGUUUCGGAUGUCACAAAAGGAUGGCUCGUGCUUGCUUCAGAUUAAGAAGGUGCACCUAUGCGAGAAGGCAUGCCGCUGCGAUAGACGACUUUAAGAGAAGCCCCAGCAACACUUCAGAAUCACAAGCGUUUGCGAAAUGGAAAAAUGGCAUAUUGCCUUCUAUAUAUUACGUGUAAAAUAAACCUGAAGCACUAAACAUAUAA